CUUCACUGCCGUGCAGGCAGCUCAGAAA
rfam:Pseudomonadales bacterium GWC1_66_9 gwc1_scaffold_20323, whole genome shotgun sequence.